rnacentral:tRNA from 1 species
UAACUCAGUAAGGAUAGAGCAUCCCGAUUUUUAAUCGGGACGGUCAAAGGUUCGAAUCCUUU